CUUUAUCAGGGAAACAAAAAAGUUUAAUUUCAGAUAUAUACACAGAACAAUUUUGGUAUAGAAACAAUAUCACAUUGGUAUAUGCAAAUAUCAGAUACAGCUUUUCAUUCUUGUUUAAAUGUCAUCUACCUGUAAGUCAAGGUCAUCAAUAAGAAGUAGUUCACUUGGUUGAAAGUUUUGAACCAAAACCUUACAUGUAUGUAGCACGGUGUAACACAGCAAGCACUAAUAAAAAUAAACACACACAAAUUUUAAUAGAAAUUUAAACAAUCAGAAAUAUUUUAUUUCAAAUAUUCCUGCAAGUAAUAGCACACUCAAAACUUUCAAAGCAUCUCAAACAUUUCAAAUAGAAUCUCACUCCAACUUUUCAAGAAGCAUCCCUCUCUACAAUUACAUGUACAAAUCCAUGUCUAUAAG